CUGGUAUUACCUCCGUCCCAAAUUACUUGUCUUAGAUUUGUCUAGAUACGUAUGUAUCUAACACUAAAAUGUGUCUAGAUACAUCCGUAUCUAGACAAAUCUAAGGCAAGUAAUUCGGGACGGAGGGAGUAUUCU
rfam:Triticum urartu cultivar G1812 contig1118846, whole genome shotgun sequence.